rnacentral:rRNA from 1 species
GACGAACGCUGGCGGCGUGCUUAACACAUGCAAGUCGAACGAAGUGGCGCACGGGUGAGUAACGCGUAAUCAACCUGCACUUCAGAGGGGUACAACAGUUGGAAACGACUGCUAAUACCGCAUACUGAAGGAGGGGAUGGCGUCUGAUUAGCUAGUUGGAGGGGUAACGGCCCACAAAGGCGAUGCUAAGUAGCCGGGCUGGGGAGAGGGACGGCCACAUUGGGAAUGGGGAACGGGCCAGACUCCUACGGGAGGCAGCAGGGGGGAAACCUCCGCAAUGGACGAAAGGCUGACGGAGCAACGCCGCGUGAGUGAUGACGGGCUUCGGGUUGGAAAGCUUUGUUAAUCGGGACGCGGUACCGGAACAGAAAGCCACGGCUAACUACGUGCCAGCAGCCGCGGUAAUAC